GUGAGCUUGGGAGUCGGGGAGUUUCCGCUCUUGAGGGCUUCCUGUCCUCCCGGUUUCGAAGCGUUUGCAGGUUUCCUUUCCCGAGUCUCUGCGCGCUGGCCGGCGCCUGCCCGGCCUCUAAAGGGGGCACUUUCUCUCAGCGUGCAGCCGCCGAGAGUGUUUCUCACCCCUGACCUUCUUCUGUCACAUUUUAAUAGAGAGUUUUGAUGUACACUCCUCUGAGUCAUCUCACCAGUGCCUUGCAUUCACCGAAAGCACGUCUGUUUGUGUCAGUGCAUCGGUGUCCCCAAACCAACAUCGGGAUGUCGUUCCUGAGCGAGGACUCCCGCAGUGAGGUUACUUAGAUAUAUUCAAUACUUUCCAUUCCUCUUGCUUGUAUAGACAACAUUCAGGAACUCUUAAAAGCAGUUGUUCAGAUCUUCAGUACUGGCCAGCUCAUGGAAGAACUUAUAGAGUAUUUAGAAUCAACUGGCUUGGGUAUGUGUGUGUCAUCUUUAAUCUGGAAAAUGAAAAAUAGGAGCUAAAUUUUGAAUGUGAGUGAUAAGUUCCUUAGAGUUUGAUUUACUGCAGCACUCAUCUGCAUCUGCUUUGGAAUAAUUAACUAAGAAUGUUUGUUUAUUUCCCCUUAUUUUCAAAAUCUCAUUGUAUUGACAGAAAAAAUAUAAAAAUGAUUAAGAAGUCAGGGCAACAGCAAAGGGGUUUCAUCAAUGGAUCAGAAAUUUGUGGACUUUCUAUAAGUUAUGAAGUAGGUGACAUCAAAUUGAUAGCAAAAUCAAAUAUACAUUUAUUCAUAUUUAUUUAAUGCCAGGCACUAGUGAUAGGUAUUACAUGAUAGUGAUAUUAUAAAAGAAAAAGACAGAUGUCACCUCCCUUCAUGGGACUUAGAGUAGAGUGACAUGAAAGAGAUAAGUACUGCUGUUUCCGGUAGACGUCAGCAAAACCCCAAGUCCCAAGUCAAUAAUAGUGGGCUCUGGGGUGGUUGAUGUGGUAAACAGUUGAAAGAGCGCCAAAAGUGGGCCAAUCACAGAACAGCUAUGGCUUGUAACUAUUAGGCUACAGUUAGCAAAAAUCACCUUUGUAAUAAGGCUUGUGUGUGUUGAGGGGUCUGUCUUUGAAGACUCUUGGUUUGAACACUGAUGGCAAAGAGAGAAACAAGACACUACCCCAACUUACUUUGGACUUGACUCACACACUGAAGGUCUCCUGCUCAUUCACCAUUAGCAAGAAUCUCCACAUAUUUGAGGAAAACUGGUAGUGUGAAAGAGAAGCACCACGCUGAACAAAGAAACCAGUAAUUCUCUGAAGAAAAAGUUAAGGCAGAAGACAGAAGAAUACUUAAGAAGGAUGAUAUAUUUUCAGACUCGGGGUUUUAAAACUUUGAAAUUAAGGACAGACCGUCUGCAGUCCACCUCAAAAGAUUAGCAGAAACACAGCAUAUAGCACCAUUAUUUGUAAAGGUGGAGGAAGCUAAACAAGAAUUACACGAAGUUGUUAAAUUCUUAAAAAAUCCACAAAACUUUACUGUGCUUGGAGGUAAACUUCCAAAAGGAAUUCUUUUGGUUGGACCACCAGGGAUAGAAAAGACUCUUCUUGCCCAAGCUGUGGCCGGAGAAGCCGAUGUUCCUUUUUAUUAUGCUUCUGGCUCAGAAUUUGAUGAGAUGUCUGUGGGUGUGGGAGCCAGCCAUAUAAGAAAUCUUUUUAGUUUAAACCCAGUGAAGCAGUUAUCAUCAUAAAAGGCACAAACUUCCCAGAAGCAUUAGAUAAAUGCAGUAGGAGUUGGAAAAAAGUAUAACUGAAGAACUAGAAGAUGCUGCUGCUGAAUUUGAAUCUGGAUCCUGCAGAGCCUUUCCUCCAGGAUCUACUGAUGUGUCAUGUCUAAAUCAAGAUCUAGUUUUGAAAAUGUCACAAGAAUACGGCCAGCCUUUGAAGAAAAGUUAUAUGAC